rnacentral:rRNA from 1 species
UACGGGGGGGGCAAGCGUUGUUCGGAAUUACUGGGCGUAAAGGGCUCGUAGGUGGUCAACUAAGUCAUACGUGAAAUCCCUCGGCUUAACCGGGGAACUGCGCCUGAUACUGGUUGACUUGAGUUUGGGAGAGGGACGCGGAAUUCCAGGUGUAGCGGUGAAAUGCGUAGAUAUCUGGAGGAACACCGGUGGCGAAGGCGGCAUCCUGGACCAACACUGACGCUGAGUGAGCGAAAGCCAGGGGAGCAAACGGG